rnacentral:rRNA from 1 species
GACGUAGGGCGCGAGCGUUGUUCGGAUUCAUUGGGCGUAAAGGGCGCGUAGGCUGCGGGGUAAGUCGGGUGUGAAAUCUCAGAGCUCAACUCUGAAACUGCACUCGAUACUGCUUUGCUUGAGGACUGGAGAGGAGAUUGGAAUUCACGGUGUAGCAGUGAAAUGCGUAGAUAUCGUGAGGAAGACCAGUGGCGAAGGCGGAUCUCUGGACAGUUCCUGACGCUGAGGCGCGAAGGCCAGGGGAGCAAACGGG